rfam:Picea glauca, whole genome shotgun sequence.
ACAUGCCUACAUCAUAGCGUUAAUGCACUGGAUCCCAUUAGAACUCUACAAUAAAGUGUGCUCAGGCUAGAGUAGUAUUGGGAUGGGUGACCGCCCGGGAAGUCCUUGUUGAUAUUAU